CUCAACCAUGAAAAUACCUGUUGGAAUGAAAUUUAAAAUUGAAAGCAAUGCAACAAUUCAAGCAGCUGACACUAGAACAGCCUAUUUUACAGGUUAUGAUUUUGUUUACCUGGGCCACCUGACCCUAACUCCAGUUGCUAUACACAACUGAUAACCUCUUUGGGCUGGGUUGUCAGUGAUUUCUGGCUCAGUCAGCAUGAACAUUUAGUGAAUACAGAGGUGCAAUAGGUUGGGAGAGCAACUGAAUUUUUUCAGGAAAUUAACUGAACACCAAGGUACACAUUCCUCUUGCAUAUUUGGAGCACAAAGAAGCUGACCAAAACCCAGUGUGGACAUUAUUUUAGUGGACGUAAAUUAUCUGAACUAUUGAACUGGUAGCUCUUCAAACUCUGACUCAGGAGAGCAGGACAGCCAUUUCAAGAGGAUUCCUAGAGUCUUAAUAUAGAACACCAAACAGUGCAUCAUGGGAAGCGGUGAAGGUCAAGGUCGUGGAGGAGGUCUCUGUCCAGGAUUAUUGUGGGGAUUUCUGUGGUUUCUGAUCCUGUGGUUUCUCGGAUGGCCAAUAGGAUUUUUUGUGGCUUGGUGGUACAUUUUCCUGCUGCCAUUUUCAGCUUGCAUCGAGCCUCUUAAGGGAAUAUGCGAAUCAUUGCUAAAGAUAGUUCAGCUACCACUUACAUGUGCAGAAAACAUGGUGGCCAUGAAACCCCUUUGUGGAGGAUGAAUUAGAGAACUAACUUUUAAUUUAAACCCUAAUUAAGUUAUGUUGAUAGUGAAAUAGACAAUAAACUUUUAAACUAACGCUUACAUGGAUAGUGAAAAAGAAAAUGUACUUUUGGAUUAAACCUUUAUAUUGUUUUUAAAUGCCUGCUUUAUUAAUCUUAGUGCCUUUUAUUUAAUAAAUGUAGAAGUGAAAAUAAUAAAAUUACUUUUUUCCAUAAAAAAUCUUGCUGUUUUGUAAUUUUUAAUAACCAUGAUAGUUGUAUGUUGAAUUCAAUGUAAUAAACCGGUAUCACAUAA